GACGAACGCUGGCGGCGUGCUUAACACAUGCAAGUCGAACGGAAAGGCCCUGCUUUUGUGGGGUGCUCGAGUGGCGAACGGGUGAGUAACACGUGAGUAACCUGCCCUUGACUUUGGGAUAACUUCAGGAAACUGGGGCUAAUACCGGAUAGGAGCUCCUGCUGCAUGGUGGGGGUUGGAAAGUUUCGGCGGUUGGGGAUGGACUCGCGGCUUAUCAGCUUGUUGGUGGGGUAGUGGCUUACCAAGGCUUUGACGGGUAGCCGGCCUGAGAGGGUGACCGGCCACAGUGGGACUGAGAUACGGCCCAGACUCCUACGGGAGGAAGCAGUGGGGAAUAGUGCACAAUGGGCGGAAGCCUGAUGCAGCAACGCCGCGUGCGGGAUGACGGCCUUCGGGUUGUAAACCGCUUUCGCCUGUGACGAAGCGUGAGUGACGGUAAUGGGUAAAGAAGCACCGGCUAACUACGUG
rnacentral:rRNA from 1 species